rnacentral:rRNA from 1 species
CAGGCCUAACACAUGCAAGUCGAGCGGCAGCACAGAGAAACUUGUUCCUCGGGUGGCGAGCGGCGGACGGGUGAGUAAUGCCUGGGAAAUUGCCCUGAUGUGGGGGAUAACCAUUGGAAACGAUGGCUAAUACCGCAUGAUAGCUUCGGCUCAAAGAGGGGGACCUUCGGGCCUCUCGCGUCAGGAUAUGCCCAGGUGGGAUUAGCUAGUUGGUGAGGUAAUGGCUCACCAAGGCGACGAUCCCUAGCUGGUCUGAGAGGAUGAUCAGCCACACUGGUACUGAGACACGGUCCAGACUCCUACGGGAGGCAGCAGUGGGGAAUAUUGGACAAUGGGCGCAAGCCUGAUCCAGCCAUGCCGCGUGUGUGAAGAAGGCCUUAGGGUUGUAAAGCACUUUCAGUCAGGAGGAAAGGGUGUGAGUUAAUACCUCACAUCUGUGACGUUACUGACAGAAGAAGCACCGGCUAACUCCGUGCCAGCAGCCGCGGUAAUACGGAGGGUGCGAGCGUUAAUCGGAAUUACUGGGCGUAAAGCGUACGCAGGCGGUUUGUUAAGCGAGAUGUGAAAGCCCCGGGCUCAACCUGGGAACUGCAUUUCGAACUGGCAAACUAGAGUGUGAUAGAGGGUGGUAGAAUUUCAGGUGUAGCGGUGAAAUGCGUAGAGAUCUGAAGGAAUACCAGUGGCGAAGGCGGCCCCCUGGACAGAUACUGACACUCAGAUGCGAAAGCGUGGGGAGCAAACAGGAUUAGAUACCCUGGUAGUCCACGCCGUAAACGAUGUCUACUUGGAGGUUGUGGCCUUGAGCCGUGGCUUUCGGAGCUAACGCGUUAAGUAGACCGCCUGGGGAGUACGGUCGCAAGAUUAAAACUCAAAUGAAUUGACGGGGGCCCGCACAAGCGGUGGAGCAUGUGGUUUAAUUCGAUGCAACGCGAAGAACCUUACCUGGUCUUGACAUCCACAGAACCUUGUAGAGAUACGAGGGUGCCUUCGGGAACUGUGAGACAGGUGCUGCAUGGCUGUCGUCAGCUCGUGUUGUGAAAUGUUGGGUUAAGUCCCGCAACGAGCGCAACCCUUAUCCUUUGUUGCCAGCGGUCCGGCCGGGAACUCAAAGGAGACUGCCAGUGAUAAACUGGAGGAAGGUGGGGACGACGUCAAGUCAUCAUGGCCCUUACGUGUAGGGCUACACACGUGCUACAAUGGCGCAUACAGAGGGCAGCGAACUUGCGAGAGUAAGCGAAUCCCAAAAAGUGCGUCGUAGUCCGGAUAGGAGUCUGCAACUCGACUCCAUGAAGUCGGAAUCGCUAGUAAUCGUGGAUCAGAAUGCCACGGUGAAUACGUUCCCGGGCCUUGUACACACCGCCCGU